UGGUCUCGAACUCCUGGGCUCAAGUGAUCCUCCUGCCUCAGCCUCCCAAAGUGCUAAGAUUACUGGUGUGAGCCACCAUGCCGGUCCAGCAAUCCAUGGUUCCAUAUAGGUGGCGUCGGACCCCUGUCAGAGAGUAAAUCUCAAGUAAGGUACCUGCCAUCGGCAGAUUUGAGCUUUCUUCUUGGACACCUAAUACCCACAGUCCUCCAGGCUCCGGUAGACUGCAAAUGACCUGCUUUCUUUCUGUUCCCGGGCUGCGUUUGGACCCCUGUCGGAUAGUAAAUCCCAAGUAAGGUACCUGCCCUCGGCAGAUUUGAGCUUUCUUCUUGGACACCUAAUACCCACAGUCCCCCAGGCUCCGGUAGACUGCAAAUGACCUGCUUUCUUUCUGUUCCCGGGCUGCGUUUGGACCCCUGUCGGACAGUAAAUCCCAAGUAAGGUACCUGCCCUCGGCAGAUUUGAGCUUUCUUCUUGGACACCUAAUACCCACAGUCCUCCAGGCUGUAGAUGAAGGGGUUCAGCAUGGAGGUGAUCACCGUGUACAUCACUGAGGCCACUGCAGCCUUUCUCGGGGAAGAUGACACAUCUGAACUGAGGUACCCUCCAAAGCCUGUUCCGUAAAAUCAGCAAACAACUGACAGGAUAACUUCAGGAAGUGGGUAUUAAUUCUCACGGUAUAAGUGAAGACAUUAAGCACCAGAGUUUAAGUAGCUUGAUCCACUGAAAGAGAUUCAACUGUGUGGAACCUAUGCCGUGGAGAAUUGCUUUCUGCCAUUGUUAUCGUCCAGCAGUUGCCGAAUAGCUCUGACCUGAGCAAAGCAGUGAAACGCGGUGCUGUUGAGUGGGUUGCCACUGCACCUUUUUCAACUACUCUAGUCUUGUGGAGAAAAUACCCCUUCUAAAUUUUUUCUUCAUUGAAUACUCUCCCUCAGCUCCAGAGUACCAUAUAGAGUUUUCUUGUAUUUUAGAGUUACUGUUUUAUCAAAGUUUACCAGUCUUUUGUAUUACAUUUCUCCUGUCUAAAUCGACUGUGUGGUUUCUACUCAUUAUGGAUAUAGAUUGAUACAAACUCAAUAAAUAUUUUUGAAUGAAU
rnacentral:lncRNA from 1 species